GUGUCAGUGUAGAAGAGGCUCGUGGUCAUUCUGCUCUCUCACACCCUGGCUGACGGAGCACACAGGUUUUCAUCUGACACUCUUUCAGCCUCUCACAUGGUCCUACACCGAUUGCACGCAACAGCACUAAAGUGGCUGAAUAAACAUCCAAAAUGAGCAAUCCCAAGAAGAGUAUUCUAAAGGAGAAGAGGAUCAGGUGCAUUAUCCUGCUGAAAGAGGCCAAUGCCAUCAGGGAAUACAAUUGCCAUGAAAGGGUGCACAUGGUCUGCAACAAUGAUUAGGUAGGUGGUAGGUGUCAAAGUAACAACCACAUGAAAGGCAGGACCCAAGGUUUCCUAGCAGAACAUUGCCCAAAGCAUCACACUGCCUUCACCAGCUUGCCUCCUUCCCGCAGUGCAGUGUGGUGCCAUGUGUUCUCCAGGUAAGUGAUGCACCUAGCCAUCCACAUGAUGUAAAAUAAAAUGUGAUUCAUCAAACCAGACCACCUUCUUCCUUUGCUCCGUGGUCCAGUUCUGAUGCUCAUGUGCCCACUGUAGGCACUUUCAAGACAGGCGUCAGCAUGGGCACCAUGACUGGUCUGCGGCUACGCAGCCCCAUAUGCAACAAACUGCAUUGCACUGUGUGUUCUGACACCUUUCUAUCAGUACCAGCAUUAACGUUUUUCAUCAUUUUGAGCUACUGUUGGAUCAGACCACAGGGGCCAGCCUUCGCUCCCCACAUGCAUCAGUAAGCCUUGGCCGCCCAUGACCGUGUCGCGGUUCACCAAUUUUCCUUCCUUGGACCACUUUUGAUAGGUCCUGACCACUGCAGACCGUGAACACCCCACAAGGGCUGCAGUUUUGGAGAUGUUCUGACCCAGUCGUCUAGCCAUCACAAUUUGGCCCUAGUCAAAGUCGCUCAGAUCCUUACACUUGCCCACUUUUCCUGCUUCUAACACAUCAACUUUGGGGACAGAAUGAGACAAAGAGUAUCAGUGUUAUUCACUUCACCUGUCAGUGGUCAUAACGUUAUGGCUGAUCAGUAUAUACAGUAUCUCAUAAAUGUGAGUACACCCCUCACAUUUUUGUAAAUAUUUGUAAAUAUCUUUUCAUGUGACAACACUGAAGAAAUGACACUUUGCAAAAAUGUAAAGUAGUGAGUGCACAGCUUGUAUAACAGUGUAAAUUUGCUGUCCCCUCAAAAUAACACAACACACAGCCAUUAAUGUCUAAACUGCUGGCAACAAAAGUGAGUACACCCCUAAGUGGUGGCCAACUACAAGAAACAUCUGACCUCUGUGAUUGCCAACAAGGGUUUUGCCACCAAGUACUAAGUCAUGUUUUGCAGAGGGGUUGAAUACUUAUUUCACUCACUAAAAUGCAAAUCAAUGUAUAUAUUUUUUUAAUAACGUGUUUUUCUGGAUUCUUUUGUUGUUAUUCUGUCUCUCACUGUUCAAAUAAACCUACUGACUGAUAAUUUCUUUGUCAGUGGUGAAACAUACAAAAUCAACAGGGGAUCAAAUAUUAUUUUCCCUCAC
ensembl:lncRNA